UUCGUUGCCAUUUCCGGAGAGCCUGAAGAGUGGAAAGCUUGAAGGGCGCAAGGAUUGUGGGGCGGCUAGAGUGUUUUUCUUUCCCGUACUGCAACGUAAGAGAGAGGUAGUGACCAGCACAUGGGCCUUAGAGACUUUUGGAAGAACUACCGAAUUUUCAUUGUUACAGGAACUGGCAUGGUGCUAAUACAUUGGGGAUGGUAUAAAAUCAAGUCCAAUCCCCUUUUUCAACCAAAAAAAGAGGACUAUUAUGAAGACUCUGACAUUGUGAGAUAUGUGCUGCAGCAGGACAAAGAAAAUGAAGGGAAAUAAUUGUAAACUGCUACAGAAUGAUUUAAGAGGAACAGUUGCAUUAGUUUAGCACAUCCCUUUUAUAAAUCAAAGAUAAGGUCUCCAUCAACAAAAGAUGUAAGGCAGCUGGAAUAGGAGGAAUUGGCUGCCCAUGCCUGGAUUUUUAUUCAUUGGUGCCCAUGUUGGUAUUUACCAUCUACCAAAAACAGCAAAGCUUUCUUCAAAAACAGGGCAUGGAAAUGAACUCAAACGGUCUGGUUGAAUGAAACAACUUCAGCAAUUAUCACAUUGAUCACAUUGUUUAACAUCGAAUAAGUGCUGUUAAAUCCCUUUGUUGUAUCGUUGCCUGAGAAGAAAACCCAAGGUCUUGCAUGCCUAUGUAUAAUGAUAAUUAAAAACUGUUUCGUAGAAACAAAA